rnacentral:rRNA from 1 species
GCGGUGAAGAGGCGCAGCCACUGUGUGAUUAUGUGAACUGCAUACUGCUUUGAACAUCGACAUCUUGAACGCACAUUGCGGCCAUGGGUUUUCCUGUGGCCACGCCUGUCCGAGGGUCG